rnacentral:lncRNA from 1 species
CUGCCAAGUCUAGUUGUUUGAAUGAAAUUUAAAACUAAAACUAAGUAACUUGCAAAAAACAAACUAAUUGAUAUGAAAUUAGGGUGAAUGAAAGGGGUGAAAGGCUAGCUAGAUGGUCAUUCUCCACACAUGACACAUGUGCAUACAAAUCGAUUUCUAGUUAUUCUUCCUAUAAACCAUGAAUGACAAUGCCCCAAGUUAACCGUGAACUGCACAAAUUAACCAUCAGAUUUUUCUAAAUUCAUUGAAUUAGACUCAACAACACAACCAAAUUAUUCUUAUCAAGUUCCCUACAUGAACUGCAUAAUAGAGAUAUAUAUCAAAGAUCAUUAAGUUCUAUGAAAAUCAUAAACAUUGACAAGACAUCCGUAACUAUGAAUUGCAUGAUACUCCUGCCAGGAAUUUACUUAACACGAUCGUGACUAGCAACUUCUACUACUUGUGAAUAUAAGUUCAUAACUAUUAGGUGAAACUCCCUUAUAUUCUAGCAUCAAAUCCCUGCAUGCAAACUAAGUAUGCAUCCUCAAUCAACACACAAGAAUAGGUUAUCUAUCAAACAGAUAAGUAAAUUGCAUUCACAAUUUAUGAAAUAAUAACUGGAUGUAAUCAAUUCAUAUCACGCAUAUGUUCAUGGCUUUGAAUUUUCCUCUAACUAAAACGAAUUUAGUUCCACAUGUUUGCAAUUAAACAAAGACAAUUAAAAUUAAACAUUGAAAACAAAAAAUAGAAUACACCUAGAAACGCUCAAACAAUCUAAAGGUCUUGAAUGGCAGGCACAGCUCUAAGCUUCUUCUCUCCUUCCUUUCUUGCAAAGCUAUGGCACAAUUGUGUAUUUUUCUGAUUUUUUGCUCUUAUGUAUGUGGUGGUUCUGAAUGAUGUGGCAAAGGUGUAUAUAUAGGGCUAGGGCACGGCACCAAGGUUGUAAAGGAAAAUGAUUAGUUGUUAGCAUUGUUUUAGGACUCCUAGAAAUCAGAUAAGAAGUUAUUUAAUAUGAAAAGGAGUCCCCCUUGCAACUGGAAAUAAGGUAGGAUAAGAUUAGGAUAUGAUAAGAUAAGAUACGGUUAGUUUGAGAAAAUAGGACUGGAUAAUGUUCCUUCCUUUUAGUUGAUUCCUUAUCUUCUAUGUCUUGAAUUAAUUUCUUCAACUCUUUAGCACAUUCCUAGCCUCUUUUGAUAUUCAAAAACGUCCAUCCAUUAUGCUCCAUUCAUAUGUUGUCCAUCCCACGCCCAAAACUGCUCUAAAAUGCUCCAAAUUGUCUUUUCUUGCCACUUUUGCCAUUUGGAGCUACAAAUACACGAAAAUGGGUUAAAUCACUAUAAUAAACAUAAACUAACUUGGGUUAGGUUCGAGUUUAAUUGAGUUCGUGUUAGCUUGAGUUCAGCCCAAGAGCUCAACCCACGGGUUCAAUCCACAAAAACUUGUGAAGUUACCAUAGACUUGUGAGUAAGUUCCACCCAUGGGUAAACUUAGACAUGCGAGUUUUCAAAUCCAAGACUUAGUUACAAAUGAAGAAAAAUAUUACUAAAUAAUAGUGCUAAAUGACUUCGAUGACACAAAGGUAUGAACUUUAUAAUAAAUUACACUCUUUGAUUGCACAUGAAGAGGCAUUUUGGAGGCAACGCUUUCAGGA